rnacentral:rRNA from 1 species
GACAGAGGGUGCAAACGUUGCUCGGAAUCACUGGGCGUAAAGGGCGCGUAGGCGGCAAUUCAAGUCAUCUGUGAAAUCUCCGGGCUUAACUCGGAACGGUCAGAUGAUACUGCUUUGCUAGAGUGCGGAAGGGGCAAUCGGAAUUCUUGGUGUAGCGGUGAAAUGCGUAGAUAUCAAGAGGAACACCUGAGGUGAAGACGGGUUGCUGGGCCGACACUGACGCUGAGUGCGCGAAAGCCAGGGGAGCAAACGGG